AGCAGCCGCGGUAAUUCCAGCUCCAAUAGCGUAUAUUAAAGUUGUUGCAGUUAAAAAGCUCGUAGUUGAAUUUCGGGGUCAGUAGGUUGGUCAUGCCACUGGUAUGUACUGAUCUUACUGAUUCCUCCUUCCUGAUGAACCGUAAUGCCAUUAAUUUGGUGUUGCGGGGAAACUGGACUGUUACUUUGAAAAAAUUAGAGUGUUUAAAGCAGGCUAACGCUUGAAUACAUUAGCAUGGAAUAAUGAAAUAGGACGUUCGAUCCUAUUUUGUUGGUUUCUAGGAUUGACGUAAUGAUUAAUAGGGAUAGUUGGGGGCAUUAGUAUUCAAUUGUCAGAGGUGAAAUUCUUGGAUUUAUUGAAGACUAACUACUGCGAAAGCAUUUGCCAAGGAUGUUUUCAUUAAUCAAGAACGAAAGUUAGGGGAUCGAAGACGAUCAGAUACCGUCGUAGUCUUAACCAUAAACUAUGCCGACUAGGGAUCGGAUGAUGUUAAUUUUUUAAUGACUCAUUCGGCGCCUUACG
rnacentral:rRNA from 1 species